rnacentral:tRNA from 1 species
AGCGAGGUGUCCGAAUGGUCGAAGGAGCUUGCCUGGAAAGUAAGUAAACCGUAAGGUUUUGAGGGUUCGAAUCCCUCCCUCACCGCCA